GAUGAACGCUGGCGGCGUGCCUAAUACAUGCAAGUCGAGCGAACAGACGAGGAGCUUGCUCCUCUGACGUUAGCGACGGACGGGUGAGUAACACGUGGAUAACCUACCUAUAAGACUGGGAUAACUUCGGGAAACCGGAGCUAAUACCGGAUAAUAUAUUGAACCGCAUGGUUCAAUAGUGAAAGACGGUUUUGCUGUCACUUAUAGAUGGAUCCGCGCCGCAUUAGCUAGUUGGUAAGGUAACGGCUUACCAAGGCAACGAUGCGUAGCUGACCUGAGAGGGUGAUCGGCCACACUGGAACUGAGACACGGUCCAGCCUCCUACGGGAGGCAGCAGUAGGGAAUCUUCCGCAAUGGGCGAAAGCCUGACGGAGCAACGCCGCGUGAGUGAUGAAGGUCUUCGGAUCGUAAAACUCUGUUAUUAGGGAAGAACAAAUGUGUAAGUAACUAUGCACGUCUUGACGGUACCUAAUCAGAAAGCCACGGCUAACUACGUG
rnacentral:rRNA from 1 species